GGAUGCCGAUCAUACCAGCACUAAAGCACCGGAUCCCAUCAGAACUCCGAAGUUAAGCGUGCUUGGGCGAGAGUAGUACUAGGAUAGGUGACCUCCUCGGGAAGUCCUCGUGUUGCAUUCC
rnacentral:rRNA from 1 species